rnacentral:rRNA from 1 species
GGAAUAUUCCACAAUGGGGGAAACCCUGAUGGAGCGAUACCGCGUGCAGGAAGACGCUUUUCGGAGUGUAGACUGCUUUUAAUAGGGAAGAUUAUGACGGUACCUAUAGAAUAAGGACCGGCUAACUACGUGCCAGCAGCCGCGGUAAUACGUAGGGUCCAAGCGUUAUUCGGAAUUACUGGGCGUAAAGCGUACGUAGGCGGCUUGAUAAGUUGGAUGUGAAAUCCUGUGGCUCAACCAUAUGGACCGUGUCCAAAACUAUCAGGCUAGAGCAUAGUAGAGGCAAGUGGAAUUUGCGGUGUAGGAGUGACAUCCGUAGAUAUCGCAAGGAACACCAAUGGCGAAGGCAGCUUGCUGGGCUAUUGCUGACGCUCAGGUACGAAAGCGUGGGGAGCGAACGGGAUUAGAUACCCCGGUAGUCCACGCCGUAAACGAUGAUCACUAGCAGUAUGGAGAUUCGACCCUCUGUGUUGCACAGCUAACGCGUUAAGUGAUCCGCCUGGGGAGUACGGGCGCAAGCUUAAAACUCAAAGGAAUUGACGG